rnacentral:lncRNA from 1 species
GAGUAUCACAAGCUCUCCCGGCACUUCUGUCUAUAGGAUGGAAGUCGUCACAUUUCGAGGGGGAGUAUCACAAGCUCUCCCGGCACUUCUGACGCUUCGGUUAGAAGUCGUCGCACUUCAGGAGGGAGUAUCAUAAGCUCUCUCCAUCGUUAGGGUUCCAAAUUACAAGGAAACCCUCGAGUGUCGAAUAUUUCUGAUACGUCGUCCGCUCUAUCUCUAAUAAUUCUACGCUAAUCUGGAGGUAUAAAUUAUCCGUAAAUUUAACCAUAGGCUGAGCUACGAUUCGUACGACCAAGCCUAUGCCCAGAGUGGCUAGCAAUAGGGUUAGCAGAGUCUAAUUUAAGUCCAGAGCGGCUAAGUUACGACUUGUGAAUCUAGUUUCGGGCCUUAGUUACAGUUUAAAGGGUAAUUUAUAUGAAAGAUUAGCAAAGGAAAAACAAUAGAUAGCUCGCCGACAGUCGCAUACUUCGAAAAACACUCGUCGCAAAAGUUCGUGUGUCACAAGGGCACAAUUUUAAAGGGGGAGCAUCAAAAGCUCUCCCGACACUUCUGUCUAUAGAAGUCGUCUCAUUUCGAGGGGGAGUAUCGCAAGCUCUCCCGACACUUCUGUCUAUUUAGAUAGAAGUCGUUACAUUUCGAGGGGGAGUAUCACAAGCUCUCCCGACAUUUCUGUCUAUUUGGAUAGAAGUCGUCACAUUUCGAGGGGAAGUAUCACAAGUUCUCCCGACACUUCUGUCUAUAGAAGUCGUCUCAUUUCGAGGGGGAGUAUCACAAGCUCUCCCGACGCUUCUGUCUAUUUAGAUAAAAGUCGUCACAUUUCGAGGGGGAGUAUCACAAGCUCUCCCAACACUUCUGUCUAUUUGGAUAGAAGUCAUCACAUUUCAGUGGGGGAGUAUCACAAGCUCUCCCGACACUUUUGUCGCAUCGGCCAGAAGUCGUCGAAAUUCGGGGGGAACAUCACAAGCUCUCCCGACACUUCUGUCGCUCCGGCCAGAAGUCGUCAAAAAAGUUAAGCACGGUAAAAUCUGUCGCUUCGGCCAGAUUUACCGAGGACAAAUUUGAGCAAAGGAGGGAUAUCACGAAAGGUAGAUCAAACGGUAAGUUCAAUAAUAAAUAUAUGCGUUUUCGAACUGAUCUAGUUGUUUUGCAGGAUGUUUUCUUUUUUGCAAGAAAGGUUCUAAUAGUGAACAAGGUUCUAAUAGUGAACCAGACUCUGAUAGUGAGUCAGCAGGUUCUGUAUCCGAGGCAAGAAUCGGAUUCAUAUAGUGGAUCUGUAGCCUUGGUCAGAAUCGGACUCUGAUAGUGAGUCAGUGAACCAGGUUCUAAUAGUGAACCAGACAUUAAUAGUGAAUCAGCAGGUUCUGUAUCCAAGGCAAGAAUCGGAUUCUGAUAGUGGAUCUGUAUUCUUGGUCAGAAUCAGACUCUGAUAAUGAGUCGGCACUUCUGUCGUUUCGGCCAGAAGCUGUCACAUUUUUGAGCAUGAUAGAUAUGUCGCUUCGGACAGAUCAAUCAAGGAUUUAUUGAGCAUAAGGAGGAGCAGCGUGAGAGGCAACUCCACACGGCAAGGUCAGUAAAUCAAUAAAUAUAUCCUUUAAACUGAUAUAGUUGUUUUGCAGGUUGUUUUUUGUUUUGCAGGCAUGAUUCUGUCGCUUCGUCCAGAAUCAGACCAAGAAUUAUGUUGUCGCUUUGGCUUCAAUAGUUCUUCGAACAUUUGGAGAUCAUUUUGUCGCUUUGACCUUAAUGAUCUCGACCCAUCUUGCGCUUCGGCCUAUGGGGUAACCGUCGUUGCGGACACCAAGUCGCUCUUGAUCAGGGUAGACUAUAAACAUCAGUUCUGAUAGUGAACUAGAUUCUCGCGCUUCAGCCAGAAUCAGAUUCUAAUCGUUAAUCCACGCGAUCUGUCGCUUUGGCC